rnacentral:rRNA from 1 species
GACAGAGGGUGCAAACGUUAUUCGGAAUUACUGGGCGUAAAGCGAGUGUAGGCGGUGUGGUAAGUCGGAUGUGAAAGCCCCGGGCUCAACCCGGGAAGUGCACUCGAUACUGCCACGCUAGAGUAUCGGAGAGGUUGGUGGAAUUCUCGGUGUAGAGGUGAAAUUCGUAGAUAUCGAGAGGAACACCGGUGGCGAAGGCGGCCAACUGGACGAAUACUGACGCUGAGACUCGAAAGCGUGGGGAGCAAACAGG